rnacentral:rRNA from 1 species
CAAUAUGAAGGUCAGGCUGAAGACCUUACCCGAUUAGCUGAGAGGUGGUGCAUGGCCGUCGUCAGUUCGUACUGUGAAGCAUCCUGUUAAGUCAGGCAACGAGCGAGACCCACGUCCACAGUUGCCAGCAUACCCUCCGGGGUGAUGGGUACACUGUGGAGACCGCCGCUGCUAAAGCGGAGGAAGGAGUGGGCAACGGUAGGUCAGUAUGCCCCGAAUCUCCCGGGCUACACGCGGGCUACAAUGGUUGGUACAAUGGGCAUCUACCCCGAAAGGGGAAGGAAAUCUCUUAAAGCCAAUCGUAGUUCGGAUUGAGGGCUGCAACUCGCCCUCAUGAAGCUGGAAUCCGUAGUAAUCGCGUUUCAACAGAACGCGGUGAAUACGUUCCCGGGCCUU